GUGGGGAAUUUUGGACAAUGGGCGCAAGCCUGAUCCAGCAAUGCCGCGUGCAGGAAGAAGGCCUUCGGGUUGUAAACUGCUUUUGUACGGAACGAAACGGUCCUGGUUAAUACCUGGGGCUAAUGACGGUACCGUAAGAAUAAGCACCGGCUAACUACGUGCCAGCAGCCGCGGUAAUACGUAGGGUGCAAGCGUUAAUCGGAAUUACUGGGCGUAAAGCGUGCGCAGGCGGUUUUGUAAGACAGGCGUGAAAUCCCCGGGCUCAACCUGGGAAUUGCGCUUGUGACUGCAAGGCUGGAGUGCGGCAGAGGGGGAUGGAAUUCCGCGUGUAGCAGUGAAAUGCGUAGAUAUGCGGAGGAACACCGAUGGCGAAGGCAAUCCCCUGGGCCUGCACUGACGCUCAUGCACGAAAGCGUGGGGAGCAAACAGGAUUAGAUACCCCGGUAGUCC
rnacentral:rRNA from 1 species